AACGCUAGCUACAGGCUUAACACAUGCAAGUCGCGGGGCAGCAUGAAUUUAGCUUGCUAAAUUUGAUGGCGACCGGCGCACGGGUGAGUAACGCGUAUCCAACCUUCCCUUAUCCACGGGAUAGCCCGUCGAAAGGCGGAUUAAUACCGUAUGAGGUCAUUUGAUGGCAUCUGAUUAUGACGAAAGGUUUAGCGGAUAAGGAUGGGGAUGCGUCCGAUUAGCUUGUUGGCGGGGUAACGGCCCACCAAGGCGACGAUCGGUAGGGGUUCUGAGAGGAAGGUCCCCCACAUUGGAACUGAGACACGGUCCAAACUCCUACGGGAGGCAGCAGUGAGGAAUAUUGGUCAAUGGGCGAGAGCCUGAACCAGCCAAGUAGCGUGCAGGACGACGGCCCUAUGGGUUGUAAACUGCUUUUAUGCGGGGAUAAAGUGGGGGACGCGUCCCUUUUUGCAGGUACCGCAUGAAUAAGGACCGGCUAAUUCCGUGCCAGCAGCCGCGGUAAUACGGAAGGUCCGGGCGUUAUCCGGAUUUAUUGGGUUUAAAGGGAGCGUAGGCUGGAGAUUAAGCGUGUUGUGAAAUGCCGCGGCUCAACCGUGGCACUGCAGCGCGAACUGGUUUCCUUGAGUGCGCUGAAAGUGGGCGGAAUUUGUGGUGUAGCGGUGAAAUGCUUAGAUAUCACGAAGAACUCCGAUUG
rnacentral:rRNA from 1 species